UACGUAGGGGGCAAGCGUUGUCCGGAAUUAUUGGGCGUAAAGGGCUCGUAGGCGGUCUGUUGCGUCAGGAGUGAAAACUCGGGGCUUAACCCCGAGCCUGCUUCUGAUACGGGCAGACUAGAGGUAUGCAGGGGAGAACGGAAUUCCUGGUGUAGCGGUGAAAUGCGCAGAUAUCUGGAGGAACACCGGUGGCGAAGGCGGUUCUCUGGGCCUGUACUGACGCUGAGGAACGAAAGCGUGGGGAGCGAACAGG
rnacentral:rRNA from 1 species